CAGUAGCCGCGGGAAUACGUAGGGUGCAAGCGUUAAUCGGAAUUACUGGGCGUAAAGCGUGCGCAGGCGGUUUGUUAAGACAGAUGUGAAAUCCCCGGGCUCAACCUGGGAACUGCAUUUGUGACUGGCUAGCUAGAGUCUGGCAGAGGGGGGUGGAAUUCCGCGUGUAGCAGUGAAAUGCGUAGAUAUGCGGAGGAACACCGAUGGCGAAGGCAGCCCCCUGGGCCAACACUGACGCUCAUGCACGAAAGCGUGGGGAGCAAACAGGAUUAGAUACCCCCGUAGUCCCUGUCUCUUAUAC
rnacentral:rRNA from 1 species